CUGUCUCGAAGAGCCAGAAAGCCUGGAAACUUUCUUUCCAGAUCACAGAUAGUUGACACUCAAUCAGGGAAACGUUGAGUUCUGCAUGCCUAAGAGGUUGUUGUCCAGGCUUGGGUCCAGAUUGAGAUCCAGGCAUCAGGAGAGGUUGUUUUGUUAAAAGUGUGGCUGGAGCAGCAUGCAAGGAUGAAAAAGAAGGAGAAAGAAUGGACUCUUCAGUAAAUGUUGAGGAAGAUAUUUUCUGAAGAGAAUUAGCAGAAGAGGCUAUGGAUAGGACAAUAGAAGAGGAGACCAGAGGAGAGGAGAAAAAAAUGGAGCAAGGUGGGAAAAUGCAGAAUGAAGGGAAUGUACAAAAAUAAAAGACUGAACAAGAAGGGCACAGUGUUCACGGAGAUUGAAGUGAACAAGAAAGAAAAAGGAGAAAGAAAAAGAGAUAAGAGAGAGAGGGAAGUGAGACAAAUUCAGAAAGUCUUCUGAAUCAUGUUGGAGUUCCUGGAACUGCCAGUAUCUAGAAGUCAUAAAGAAAAAGACUGACAAAUGUGAACAUAUAACAAUUUUUCGCUUUUGUCUCCCAAAAGACUCCAUAAGCAAAAGGUCAUCAACAUGAGAAAAUUAUUUGCAACAACAAUAACAAAAAUAAAGGCCAAGCUUAAUAUAUUUAUAUAUGAAAAGUUUUACACAUAGUUAAAAAUACUAAAACACCAUUAGAAACAAAGGACUUAAACUAGGAAUUAAUUAUUUCUCUUUCUCUUUCCAUGGCCAACAAACAUUGAAAAAAAAUUGCCAUCUUUUUUUUUAUUUGUUUGUUAGAGAUGGGGAUCUCACUCUGUUUCUUAGAUUGUAGUGCCAUGGCACAAUAAUGGCUCACUGCAGCCUCAAACUCCUGGGCUCAAGUGAUCACCCCCAUACAGACUCCCGAGUAGCUGGGAACACAGGCACAUGCCACCACCCCUAGCUAAUUUUUUAUUAUUUGUAGAGAUGGGGGUCACUAUGUUGCUCAGGCUAGUCUUGGACUGCUGGACUCAAGUGAUCCUUGGUCUCCCAGUGUGCUGGGAUUACAGCCAUGAGCCACUGCUCCAGUCCUCAACUUCUUUUUUAUUUAGCAAGUUGACAAAUUUUGAAAACAAAAUUGUCACUGCUGGUAAAGGUACAGUGAUAUGGGAAAGUUUACAGUGCUUAAGGGAAUUUUAACUGUACAAACUUUCUAGAAAGCAAUUUAACAAUCUUGCAGUAGCUUGCCACAAAAAGUCUACCCUCUUUCACCCAGAAAACUUACCUUUCUUUUCUGUCCUGAGGUAAUAACCUCCAAUGCUAUCAAAUAUCCAUCUACAAGCCUUACUUAUAAAAUUGCUUAAAAACUUAAUGUUCAACAAUCCAAAUAUUUAACCACAGAAAAACAGUUAAAUUUAGAGAUUUCUGUACAAUUAAUACCAGGCUGCCCCUAAAAAUAUCAUGGGAAUUUAGUGAUUCAGAAAAAUACUUUUGAUAUAAUAUUAUGGAGAAAAAAACUAUGAUAUGAAACUGCCAUAUGAGCUCAAUAUAGAUUUUUAUGUUAAAACGGUUUAGACAAACCUUAAGGAAAUACACAAAAUACUAGCAGCAGUUAUAAGUGGUGGAAUUACACACAAUUUGAGUUUUCUUUUAUAUCCUUUUCUGUGAUGUUAUUAACAAGUUAGAAUGGGUGUAACAGAAGUAAAUGGACAACACAGAUGACAAAGAAUUUCCUUUUUUCUCUCCUCUCCAAGGUUCUUGAAGGCAUAACUAGAAUCAAAUAGUUUUUUAAAACUAUGGGGAGACAAUUUUAGUAUAAUCUUAAUGGAAAAACUUUCCUUAGAGGAGUCUAAAAAUGUAAGAUAGGGCCUCAGAAGCAUGAGUGACAUGUUACUGGAGUUCAAGUUUACUCUGAAUAAACUUCCAGCCGUUCAUUAUGAUACCUGCUGGGAACCUAUUAUGUACCAAGUACUCUUGUAAGUCACUAGAGGCCUCACAAGCAGUAAGACAAAGUCCCCACCACCCAUUAAGCUUACCUUGCAGUGGAGGAGGAAGAAAGUAACAUAAUGUCAGAUGUGAUAAAUGCUAUAAAAUGCCAAGUGGGCCAAGGGGAGAGUGUGAAGGUGGACACAGUGGUGGUAGCUAUUUUUGAAAGAUGCAUCAGUGUAGGGCUCCCCAAUUUCAGUGAACUAAGCAAGCAAGGGAUACGGAUCUGAGGUUUGAGAGUUCCAGGAGGAAGGGACAGACAGCCUGACAUGCAUAGUGAAUGAGGGACAGACAAGGAUCAGGUGAGCAGCAGAAUCAGGAAAGAAGGUGAUUAAGACUAAACUGAGUAUUGGGGAGGUCAGCGACUUAGGGCUCUGUUCAUCUGACUUGUUUGGCCAAUGGGAUAUUAUCAGGUGUAAUGCAAACAGAGGCCUAAAAAGCAUGUGUGUGGUUGAGCUUGGCCUCUUUUGACUUUGCUAUUAUGUUGAGAGGGCAUGCCCCAGCUAGCCAGUUGGUUCUAGAGGGAUGAAAGACAAAUGGAUCAGAGCUGCCCCAGUGGAGCCCAGCUGAGACCAGGUCUGCCUCAACAGAGCUGCUCCAGCCAACCCCCAAAUCUGCCAGAAUAAAUUGUUACCUUUGUAAGCCAAUCAGUUCUGAAGUGGUUUGUUACUCAGCAUUAUUGGAGCAAUAGCUGAUAGACACAAUGCUCAACCUAGACCUAAAAAACAAGACCACUGUAAUUUGCUUAGCCUGGGUCCUUAUUGAGAAUAACAGUGUGGCCUAACCAGUUCAACAAACCAUGAUUGUAAGAGUAACAAGCACAGGAGCCUUAUCCUAAUAUUAUCCGAAUGUAAGAUAAUUCUACAUUUCAAGUAAGAUAACUAUGGGUAAACCAAUAACAUGCUCCAGUUUCUUGUUUACUAUACUGACAGUCUGUUAUCAAAUAGCCUUGGCAGGUUCUAAGUUUGCUUCUCUCAUCUGUUUUGCCGAAAAAUUUGUCCCAAGUGCUUAUUCCAUGGCCUCCUAAAAAGACAUAUUUCAUAGGUGAUCAGGGAAAAACAGCUGCUGUACAGCUAAAUCACGUCAAAAGUAUUUUGGGGUUGAAGGCAAGCAUGAACCACAAUCCAGCUCACUUUUUAACUUCUGAGUAAUAUUCCAGGAGUCCAUCUGGAGCCCCAUCACAGUAGGGAUGCCGUAAGAGACCUUUUUGAGUAUAGCCCUCCCAAAUCCUGACCUAAGCAUGCUUGAGACCAGAAGACACUCAAUGAGCCCCUCAGGGUUAUAUCAAGAUGGCACACAUUUCCUCAAGACUUCUACCAAAAUAUGUUACAUCAAAUUUCCAAAGCCUCUACCUACAUAUAUUCUCAGUGGAAAACCUCCAGGCCCUUUAAAUGUGCCUGCCAUGUGCUUUAAGUACUUAUGGGCCUAAUUCAACACAAAUUAUAUGGUGAUGUUUAGCCUGACCAUGGUGAGCAUGGCAGAACUGAGGUCCAGAAGAGGGAAGGGGACACUCACAGCCCAUCCAGACUUCUUCUCUUUCCCCUGACAGGCUUCCUUUCUUUCCCCCUGAGUCACAGGCCUGGGAAGCAGGUUGUGCAGUCAGCAGGAAAAGCUAUGGCUAGCUUGGGGGUAUGAAGAAGGAACACACAGAGAUCCUUAUUUUCCACCCACCUCAACCACUGCCUGCCUCCCAGCCUCCCCACCUCAGCAUAAUGCUCCAGUAUUCUGAAUCCCAUCCAGACUUUUUCUCCAUUCCCUGCUGAGCUUCCUCUCCUUCCUCCUAAGUCACAGGCCUGGGAGAGGGGCUGUGUAGUCAGCAGGGAAAGCUACAGCUAGCUUGGUGGUAUGAAGGAGGAACACACACGGAUCGUUAUUCACCACCCACCUCAUCCACUGCCUGCUUCCCAGCCUCCCCACCUCAGCAUAAUGUGCCAGUAUUCUGAAUCCAGAGCACUGAUUCACCUACUUAACCAUGAGGCUGAAGUUCAGAAUGGCUGUCAAAAUCUGGUCACCUAACAGCAAAAAAAUCAAUGAACUACAGAGAGCAGAUAGCUAGGCUUUUAAAGAUUCACUUGUUUUGAUGGCCUUGUCACUGCUUGUCUCCUCAUUACCUUCAUGGCUCAGCCUCACUGUAAUGUGCACUGACUUGGGCAUAAAUAGGUCUAUCUUAGAGUUAAUGCUCUGAUGUAAAAAGGGUAAACCACCCUCCAUCUAUGGAAAACAUUCCAUUAUCACAGCAUUUUUUAUGAAAGCCAAGAUGCUUCCCUACUGUCCACAAAAAGCUAUUUGCCUUCAUACUGUAUAAAUAUUUGAUGCUGGCCUUUUGGCAAAAGGCCACCUAAAUAUUCCAAGCUUAUGAUUUACAAGAAGGAUGUGGGAAAGGAGAUUUGUCAUAGUAUUUCAAGAGGUAAAUUCUAUGAGGCAACCAUUCUUCUCCUGCGGACUCUGAGAUACUAAGACUGUCUAUCAAGCAAACCUUCAGGCUCAGCCCUAGGCUGCUGUGCUUCGCCAAAGUCUAGCCUGAAUGUGCAUGCCAUGACAAGCGGUCAAUGCAUUUGGUCUAUUUUUGCAGGGUUAAAAACAAAAUAUUACUGUUGUCCUUUAAACAAACUAGACUGGACUAGAUUGACUACGCUGGAAUAGCUGGCCUAACAGAUGCUCUUGGCUCUCUGAGAGUGCCUUCUCUCCAUCAGAGGCUGCACAGUCCUCUUGGCACCACCUUGAUUCCAAGAUUGGCACUGGCCAAGUGCAUAAGUGCAAUUGCACAUGUGGUCAAUGGCAUGUGAUCCCACGGCAAAUAUAAUCACUGUUCAACCAAUUCCAGAUAAAGGUGCCAUGUUGCUCCACAAUCACACUGAAGCUAAUUUGCUCUAUUUACCAAAGAAUAAGCAAGGCUGCUGCCGUUUCUUGUUUCUUGAACACUCUCUGCUGCUCUAGGCCUGGCUACCGUCCUACAUUCUUAGUUUGAUGCAAUGAGUCAUCUAGAAAAGCUAUUACUCCUCUUUAGCUAGAAAAAGAUUAGCUUGCAAGUUGCAGUGCCAAUUAAAUGAACAGAUAGGGAAGAAACAUUCUGAUUCAUUGGUUGAUGGAUGUGAGGCACUCUGCCAGGUGCAGUUCAAGGCUUUUCAUUGAAUCCUCCCCCAAAUUCUGUAAGAGUCAUCAUUCCCUUUUAGUGGAUAGACAUCUGAGUUACAUGAUUUGUCCAUGUUCAUAUGGAAUACAAAGGCCAAAUCAGAUAUGAAAUAUGAUUUGUUUGACACUAAAACUUACCCCCUUUCAACAACAGACAUUUAUUGAGCUACUGCUAUGAUGAGGCAGACCCUGUUUGAGGAACUGGGGGUAGGUGCUAAACAGGCUAAGUUUCUACACUUGCAGAGCUGGUGUUUUCUGACCAAUGCACCAUAUUCUCUCUGCCUUGGUGGUUAGGAUAAGAUUUUAGUCGGGUCACAAUGAGACUUAGGACUUCUGUUUGGGGCCACAUCUGUGCAGAUGCCAUGCUCUCCUAUAUAGGGCAGAAAAAAAAAAGAAUAAAAAUAUGAUUGUAAAUGGCUGACUUAUGCAUAUAGCUGUGUAUUUUGACACAAUGGGUUAGCAUACAGUGAUGAAAGAAAAUGGUCUGCAAUUACAUGUAAAAAUGUAGACGAACCCCACAACAACAAGUGUGUGUAUAAAGUUUGUAUACAGUUCAAAACUCAUCAAUGGUGUUUCAAGUAGGGACUGUGAUUACCCCAGGGGGAUAGAAACAGUGCAAUUACAUGUAAAAAUGUGGAAGAAUCCCACAAUGACAAGUGUAUAAAAUUUGUAUAAAGUUUUGUAUAAAGUUCAAAACUCAUCCAUAGUGUUUCAAGUAGAGACUGUGAUUACCCCAGGGGAAGAGAAACAGUGUGGGGCAUGCAGGGGCUUCUAGGGUUUUGAUAUGUUCUAUUUCUUGAUCUAUGUGCUGGUGAUGUGUGUGCUCACUUUGUGAAAAGCCACUGAGGUAUAUAUCCUUGUGAUCUGUACUAUUUUUUACAUGUGUGCUAAACUGCAA
rnacentral:lncRNA from 1 species